CGCGGGGUGGAGCAGCUCGGUAGCUCGCUGGGCUCAUAACCCAGAGGUCGUCAGUUCAAAUCUGGCCCCCGCUACCA
rnacentral:tRNA from 4 species